AGUCUUAAGGGAGGUAAUGUGAUUGCAAAGGUGAUUUCUCAGGGAAAUGGUCAUCUAUCAUACUCUAGGUAUACUAAUUCCAGUGGUUUCCACAAAUGUUGGAAAUUCAAUUCCAUAAUUUCUGGUUAGUAGGGGGGCUCCCUUUUGCUCUUCCCUAA
ensembl:snRNA U1 U1 spliceosomal RNA